GGACAAGUGAAUAAGUGCACAUGGUGGAUGCCUUGGCGAUUACAGGCGAUGAAGGACGUAGUAGCUUGCGAUAAGCUGCGGGGAGCUAGCAAACAAGCUUUGAUCCGCAGAUUUCCGAAUGGGGAAACCCGGCCUUUUAGGUCAUUGCAUACUGAAUACAUAGGUAUGCAAAGCGAACGCGGCGAACUGAAACAUCUAAGUAGCUGCAGGAAAAGAAAUCAACCGAGAUUCCCAAAGUAGUGGCGAGCGAAAUGGGAUGAGCCUGCACGUUUUAGCAUGACGCAUAGAAGAAUCCUCUGGAAAUAGGAACCAUAGCGGGUGAUAGUCCCGUAUUCGAAAUGCGAUGUGUGGAACUAAGCGUGCGACAAGUAGGGCGGGACACGAGAAAUCCUGUCUGAAUAUGGGGGGACCAUCCUCCAAGGCUAAAUACUCGUAAUCGACCGAUAGUGAACCAGUACCGUGAGGGAAAGGCGAAAAGAACCCCGGGAGGGGAGUGAAAUAGAUCCUGAAACCGUGUGCAUACAAACAGUAGGAGCGGACUUGUUCCGUGACUGCGUACCUUUUGUAUAAUGGGUCAGCGACUUACAUUCAGUGGCAAGGUUAACCAUAUAGGGAAGCCGUAGAGAAAUCGAGUCCGAAUAGGGCGAUAGUCGCUGGGUGUAGACCCGAAACCAAGUGAUCUACUCAUGGCCAGGAUGAAGGUGCGGUAACACGCACUGGAGGUCCGAACCCACUAAUGUUGAAAAAUUAGGGGAUGAGCUGUGGGUAGGGGUGAAAGGCUAAACAAACUUGGAAAUAGCUGGUUCUCUCCGAAAACUAUUUAGGUAGUGCCUCAAGUAUCACCAUCGGGGGUAGAGCACUGUUAUGGCUAGGGGGUCAUCGCGACUUACCAAACCAUUGCAAACUCCGAAUACCGAUGAGUGCGAGCUUGGGAGACAGACGUCGGGUGCUAACGUCCGGCGUCAAGAGGGAAACAACCCAGACCGCCAGCUAAGGUCCCAAAGAUUGGCUAAGUGGAAAACGAAGUGGGAAGGCUAAAACAGUCAGGAUGUUGGCUUAGAAGCAGCCAUCAUUUAAAGAAAGCGUAAUAGCUCACUGAUCGAGUCGUCCUGCGCGGAAGAUGUAACGGGGCUAAGCCAGUCACCGAAGCUGCGGAUAUGCGUAAGCAUAUGGUAGGAGAGCGUUCUGUAAGCCUGCGAAGGUGUCUUGUAAAGGAUGCUGGAGGUAUCAGAAGUGCGAAUGCUGACAUGAGUAGCGAUAAUGGGGGUGAAAAGCCCCCACGCCGUAAGCCCAAGGUUUCCUGUUCAACGUUCAUCGGAGCAGGGUGAGUCGGCCCCUAAGGCGAGGCAGAGAUGCGUAGCUGAUGGGAAGCAGGUUAAUAUUCCUGCACCGUCGUAUGAUGCGAUGGGGGGACGGAUCGCGGAAGGUUGUCUGCCUGUUGGAAUAGGCAGUUUCUGGUUCAUAGAAGGCGCUUAGGCAAAUCCGGGCGC
rnacentral:rRNA from 1 species